rnacentral:lncRNA from 1 species
GUUCUUUCCAACACCAAAACCAGAAGAGGAAUUCAGGGCUUUGCAGCCUAAAGCCAUCAGACCCAAGAGGACAUCCACAGGGAUUCUUAUCCUUGAAGACGCAGAAGCCCCACCUCAUCGCUUGAGGCAGUGAAGGGGAAACCCACCUGCCAGGCACCUGCAGGCUUCCGCUGGCCCCCUUCACUCCCCUCUCCAUCCAGUAGUCUUGAGUUCUAAGGAUCCUCACAGGUCAUAGCUCCAAGCACUCAAGAGAAUGGAGGUGUGGGGAUCCCAGGCAAAGAAACCACCUGGUGUCACUGAGAGAAGCAGAGGAGGUGGGCAGGGGCCCGGAGUCCCAGACGAACAGACAACCGCGAGGAUGUGGGGUCUGAGUGCUCUCCUCAUGAUCAAACACACUAAACUGUCACCAGAAGACUCCAUUCUUAGGCCUGGCUGUGUCACCAACCAGCCAGGUCACUAGGCAGGUCUCCCUGCCCCUCUGGACACAGCUGCCUCUCCUGGCAGAGCUGUGGGUCGAGUUGGAAGCUCACACGGCCCCUUUUGGCUCUGACACUCCACUGUCUGUGAGUCACUCUGGGUUCCGGUGGUUUGUCACUGGGGCUCACAGGGAAACCAAAGAAAGAACAAUCGCAGCCCAGGGUAGCGAGUUCAUGGGCGCCGGGUCCAGGGCUUGCGUAAGGAGGCCCAGUGACCUUCAGCACCGCGGUGACUCAAGGCGGUACUUUUCCACUGCUGGCAGGCACAAGCCCUCUAACGUGUGGCACCGGCACCUGCAUUAAAACAAUGUUUUGAUGAUGUUGCAGGGCUUAGAUCCACCCUCAAACAUGAAAACAAAUAAGAGUCCGGGCCUGAUGUUGUCGGAGCAAUUCCCUGGAUUCCUUGUCGAGUCGAGUCCUGCACGGAGGGACGGUCAGGGCUCGCUGGUUACCCGGCCUUGAGUCACCAGCAGCCUUCUCCCAGAGCCUCUGAUUCAUGGGCAUGUUAUUUGGGGAAAGAGUCACAAAGCCAUCACCGGCUCCUUCCUCUUGUUCCUCCCAGCUCCACACUUGGCCAUCACGGAGUGUUUUUGUUUCGCUGCAGUAAUCCAGAUAAGCCCUAAUUGUUUUCGGAUAUCCCAAAUGAGAGGCAUUAAACCAUCAGAAUUUUCUGCAUUCAAUGUGUAGGACUAAGUGGCAAUUCCUUACAGAAUGGGCUUAGGUUCCAGAUUCAUCUGAAAACAAAACACUUCUAGCUCUGACCCCUGCGGAACAAUAAAAUCAUGUUUUCAGUGUUCCCCUAGGGCCUGGCCAGAUCCUCAGGUAUCCUCAAAGAAUC